rnacentral:lncRNA from 1 species
UAAUAGUAGUCAUAUUUGCCUGUACAUUUACCCGUUUAUUGACUAAAUAUCAAUAACCUUUAUAUAAUAACUGAAUCAAAUAAACAAUUUCUUUAGUUGUUCUUUUUUUAACACAUUUUAUUUACUGAUAAAUUGGUAUAUGUUGUCACAUUUGUUUGUCAAUGAAAUAACUAGUCUAUCGACCAGAAACCAAAGAACGAGGAUGUAAACCGAAACAGGACAUUGCUCUUAUACAAAUAUCAACACCUACAUGUAAUAAGACCUUUUGAGCAUGCCAAUAAAAUAUCUAUAUAUUUUUCCCGGGCGCCUUUUCUGUUCCCCGGGCGCUAUAUUUUCUUCUCCGGGCGCUUUUUCUUUUCCCCGGGCGCUCCCGGGCGCAUUUUAGUAGGACCCCCAACAUUUAAUUAAUUCAUAGAGGGCACCAACCACUAAACAUCCGGUCUAGAUUGAAAAAUCGAAUCCAUUUUUUAAUCAAAAAGGAC